CUUGCGUUCGUCUCGCCGCUCCCCGCCCCCACACCGGGCGCGCGCACUCCGCUUUCGGAGCCGGCAGGGAAGAUGGGCCGGGGCGCCCGGGUCCCAGGCGGCGAGGCGCCGGCGUCUUAGAGCGGAGCCCGGAGCUUUCGGAGUGCGAGUGCCAGUGCUUCCUGAGCAAGGCUGCCUCCACUGUCACCCACACAUUCCAGUGUCUUGCAGAGUCCUCUGAAAAAGAAGUAGCAUGAAUGUCUGCCGCAGCUGCUUCCUAAAGGAGCCAAUAAGGGAAGAAGUGAUGAGAACGGCACAGCUAUUAACAGACCAACAAUGGUGAAGGAGUACAUCAGAAUCCUUGUGAGUCCAAACUGAGGCAUCAACUGCUGCUGAGGGACGAGUCAUGGAGGAGCAAUACAUCAUAUGAAACCAUACCUUUUUCCCCCUCACAUUCCUAUCACGGGCUUCCUGUUCUAAGAGCUCAGCAGACAGUGACUGGAGACACUGCCUCCCAACUUCGGUUCACCUUUGCAGUUCCACAAGGGACACCAUGUCAAGAUUGUUCAGCUUUUUUGAUGAGUGCUGCGUGAGUAACUAAUGUGUAAAUGCAGAUAUGUAUAGAA